GACGAACGCUGGCGGCGUGCCUAAUACAUGCAAGUCGAACGCAGUGGGGACGGGUGAGUAACACGUGGGUAACCUCCCAUCAGAGGAGAUAACACUUGGAAACAGGUGCUAAACCGAUACUGAUGGAUGGACCCGCGGUGCAUUGGCUAGUUGGUGAGGUAACGGCGCACCAGGGCCACGAUGCAUAGCCGACCUGAGGGGGUGAGCGGCCACCCUGGGACUGAGAGACGGCCCAGCUUCCUACGGUAGGCAGCAGUAGGGAAUUGUCGGCAAUUGACGAAAGUCUGACCGAGGCACGCCGCGUGAGUGAGUAAGGGUUGCGGAUCGUAAAACUCUGUUGUUAGAGAAGCGGUAUCUAACCAGAAAGCCACGGCUAACUACGUGCCAGCAGCCGCGGUAAUAC
rnacentral:rRNA from 1 species